rnacentral:ncRNA from 1 species
CUAUGAUUCUGCGCUUCAGGUGCCCGCAGGCUAUUGGCCUGCAGGAGAAUCGGGAAGACGGUGUGAAUCCGUCGCGUGCCCAACGCUGUAAGGCUGAUGCCCCUCACAAAUAACCACUGGCUGCCAAGCCGGGAAGGUGUGACGGGGCAGAUGACGCCAAGCCAGAAGACCGGCCUGAUGUUGUUAUGGGUG